GACGUAGGGGGCCAGCGUUGUUCGGAAUUACUGGGUGUAAAGGGUUCGUAGGCGGUGCGGCAAGUUGGGAGUGAAAUCUCUGGGCUUAACCCAGAGGCUGCUUCCGAAGCUGCUGUGCUUGAGUGUGGGAGAGGCGCGUGGAAUUGCAGGUGUAGCGGUGAAAUGCGUAGAUAUCUGCAGGAACACCCGUGGCGAAAGCGGCGCGCUGGACCACUACUGACGCUGAGGAACGAAAGCUAGGGGAGCAAACAGG
rnacentral:rRNA from 1 species